rnacentral:lncRNA from 1 species
AUGGGAGCUGAUGGCCCUGUUGGCCCACCAGGGCCACAAGGUCCAAGUGGCAAAUCUGGGCCUCAGGGAAGGGAUGGACCAAAAGGUCAGAAGGGAAAUUAUGGUCUAGAUGGACCUCCUGGAAAACCUGGGCAUGCUGGGAAGAGAGAGAAAAAGGGAAAAGCUGGUCAGAGGGGUCUCAGAGGACCUAGAGGGGAGAAGGGCCAACAAGGAGCAAUGGGAAAGACUGGACCUCCUGGCAGACCAGGACAAUAUGGUUUACCAGGUAUUCGAGGCGAGAAAGGAGAGAGCGGUGAAAAAGGCUUUGAGGUUUGGGGCUUUAAUGGAAAUGUCAUAUUAGAACUGACAAAACUGAGAACCUUGAGGCUUACUCUUCUUUCUGUCUAUAGGGAGAGAAGGGGGAACUUGGGCCACUUGGUCCUCCAGGGGGAGAUGGACUGAAGGGGGAGCAGGGCCUAACUGGGGAAAAAGGGAGACAGGGGCUGAAGGGAGAGCAGGUUGAUAUACAGUAUUUAGAUGUGCAUGUAAAUGUACAAUGAGACUGUUAGCAUGUAGAAUAUAGAAGAAUUUAUGCCUCUUUUUAGGGGGAUAUUGGCCCAACAGGUCAAAGAGGGACUCCAGGUCUACCAGGGAUGCCGGUAAGUUAUUAUUAUAUUAUUAUUUAUUUGAAUUGGC